rnacentral:rRNA from 1 species
GAAAGACCCCGUGCACCUUUACUGUAUUCUGACAUUGGGUCCUGGUUUCUCAUAUUUAGUGUAGCUGGGAGACAGUGAAGCCCCGACGCUAGUCGAGGUGGAGUCAACAAUGAAACACCAGUUUUGAGUAAUUGCGAUUCUAACCCCGCGCCGUGAAGCCGGCCGGGGGACAGUGUUAGAUGGUCAGUUUGACUGGGGCGGUUUCCUCCCAAAUGGUAACGGAGGAGUUCGAAGGUUCCCUCAUCAUGGUUGGCAAUCAUGAGUGGAGUGUAAGGGUAGAAGGGAGCUUAACUGCGAGACCUACAAGUCGAGCAGGUGCGAAAGCAGGACCUAGUGACCCGGUGGUUGCAGGUGGAAGCGCCAUCGCUCAUCGGACAAAAGGUACGCCGGGGAUAACAGGCUUAUCGCUGCCAAGAGUUCACAUCGACGCAGCGGUUUGGCACCUCGAUGUCGGCUCAUCGCAUCCUGGGGCUGGAGAAGGUCCCAAGGGUUUGGCUGUUCGCCAAUUAAAGCGGUACGUGAGCUGGGUUCAAAACGUCGUGAGACAGUUUGGUCCUUAUCCUCUGUGGGCGCAGGAAAUUUGAGGAGAACAUACCUUAGUACGAGAGGACCAGGAAUGACGUACCUCUGGUGUUCCAGUUGUUCAGCCAUGAGCAUCGCUGGGUAGCUAAGUACGGAACGGAUAAGCGCUGAAAGCAUCUAAGCGCUAAGCCUCCUCCAAGAUUAGAUUUCCCUAUCGCGUAAGCGAUACUAAAGGCACCCCGAAGACUACGGGGUUGAUAGGCUGGAGGUGUAAGCACAGUAAUGUGUUAAGCUGACCAGUACUAAUCCGCCGUGCGGCUUGAUCAU